AUUGAACGCUGGCGGCAGGCCUAACACAUGCAAGUCGAGCGGAUGAAGGGAGCUUGCUCCUGGAUUCAGCGGCGGACGGGUGAGUAAUGCCUAGGAAUCUGCCUGGUAGUGGGGGAUAACGUCCGGAAACGGGCGCUAAUACCGCAUACGUCCUGAGGGAGAAAGUGGGGGAUCUUCGGACCUCACGCUAUCAGAUGAGCCUAGGUCGCAUUAGCUAGUUGGUGGGGUAAAGGCCUACCAAGGCGACGAUCCGUAACUGGUCUGAGAGGAUGAUCAGUCACACUGGAACUGAGACACGGUCCAGACUCCUACGGGAGGCAGCAGUGGGGAAUAUUGGACAAUGGGCGAAAGCCUGAUCCAGCCAUGCCGCGUGUGUGAAGAAGGUCUUCGGAUUGUAAAGCACUUUAAGUUGGGAGGAAGGGCAGUAAGUUAAUCCCUUGCUGUUUUGACGUUACCAACAGAAUAAGCACCGGCUAACUUCGUG
rnacentral:rRNA from 1 species